rnacentral:rRNA from 1 species
UACGGGGGGGGCAAGCGUUGUUCGGAAUUACUGGGCGUAAAGGGCUCGUAGGCGGCCAACUAAGUCAGACGUGAAAUCCCUCGGCUUAACCGGGGAACUGCGUCUGAUACUGGAUGGCUUGAGUUUGGGAGAGGGAUGCGGAAUUCCAGGUGUAGCGGUGAAAUGCGUAGAUAUCGAGAGGAACACCUGCGGCGAAGGCGGGUUGCUGGGCUGACACUGACGCUGAUGCGCGAAAGCUAGGGGAGCGAACGGG